GAAAUGCGAUAAGUAAUGUGAAUUGCAGAAUUCAGUGAAUCAUCGAAUCUUUGAACGCACAUUGCGCCCCCUGGUAUUCCGGGGGGCAUGCCUGUUCGAGCGUCAUUUCACCACUCAAGCCUCGCUUGGUAUUGGGCGACGCGGUCCGCCGCGCGCCUCAAAUCGACCGGCUGGGUCUUUCGUCCCCUCAGCGUUGUGGAAACUAUUCGCUAAAGGGUGCCGCGGGAGGCCACGCCGUAAAACAACCCCAUUUCUAAGGUUGACCUCGGAUCAGGUAGGGAUACGCGCUGAAGAUAAGC
rnacentral:misc_RNA from 1 species